rnacentral:lncRNA from 1 species
CUCAGUCGCUGUCCAGAGAACUUGCACACCCCACCUGCAGUCUUCACCACCUCGCCGGCGGCCACGGGGGCUAAAAACGAUAAGAGAGACGGUGGGGGGUGCAUUUUGUGGGCAUCUGACUCUUCCAGGGCUGGGCGGAGCCAAGGACACUGGGCUUGGAGUCAUUCGGGCUGGAUGGGGCUGAACCCGCCCAUGUCUAUGGCCUGCUGAGUCCUGUCCUCUUGCAGAGCUCUUUUCGUCAUCUGCGCAAUGGCAGGAAUGAGACGGAAACCAGUGAAGCGUUCCUCGCAGGGCCUGGACUUAUCUUGGAUAACAUUUGCAGUGACCUUAUGAGGUAAGGAUGGCCACUUGGAACCCUUGAAGCUGUGAGUCCCCUUGACUUCCUCCCAGGCACUGCCCUCCCAGAAGUGAAGGUACCAGGAGGCAGAGGAAACAGUAGCACCACGGUGCCAUCCUGGAUCCAACGGAGCAGCCACCUUUCCCCUGCUCCCCAAGGUGCGUCCAUUUCUGAGUUUCCCUCCUCUGGACCUGUGACCAUGCCAUCCCUCCUGCCUGGACUGCCUCCCAGUCUCUCAGUAGUACCACCUCCAGGUUCAGCUUGUGGUUCCGGCUGGUGGGUGUGCCACAGCCAGACGCUGUGCUCAGCGGGGAUACCCUAACCCUGGGUGAUCUGGGGUCACUCCCGUCAACCUGGGGGGCUCUGCAGGCAGGGAAGAGCCUCCUGGGUCUCUGCUCCAGCCCUGGCUUUACACAAAUGUGCCUGAGAAAACACGGUGUCCUGACACCUGGCCUCAUGCCACCUGGUGACGGCAUCUGAGCCAUCACCAGUGAUCAUUCACCCCUUUUCCCUUUUCCAGACAGCACGAAAAUCCAACACGCCCCUCACCGGAGGACUGGGAGGCUCCCGCGUUUUGGAUUCUGAAAAGCACUCCCUCGUUCACGUCUGCCUGGAUUCGCGCCCUCAAGCCCCCUGGCGCCCACUUUUCUUGCUCUCCAAACACUCGUUGAGGCCCGAGAGGGAGAUGCGAAGUUUGCCCACCACUGCGCGUCCCUCCUCCGCGAGGCGCCAAUGGGCCUGAGUCAGGGGCCUCCCCUUCAUCCGCUGGUCCCUCCCCUGUUCCCAGCUCCAGUUCCUCACCCGCUAUGGCUGGCCUGGCGCCUGUGGCCGUUCACCGUCUGCGAGGCAUCUGCGGGGACUGAAGUCGGGGAGGCAGCGGCGGGCUCUGGCAGAUACCAGGAGAUCCCGCCCCUCGGCCCGGGAGACCCCGCCCCUCGGCCACGCCCCUUUCCGCUCCCCACCCCGCCCUCUUGGGCCCCCCACCCGGCCCAGCCAGACAGAGACCUGCCUCCAGGUGGGUGGGAGGAGACCUUCAGUCCCUCGCCCCGGGCCUGUUGUCACUACCUCCCCCAAACACAUUGGUUAAAGUCACCCGAUUAGAAGGGGCCACCUGUGAGACUUGGAUCCAAAGCAAACUAGCGGAAGCUGAAGGGUCUUGGGGCUUCCCAGGCCUCUCGGAGGCCGGGAUGGUCGUGGAGGAGGGAGCGCUCAGUGCCUGGCCUACUGCCUGCCCUGAGCCGGCUCCCUACAGGACGCUUCUCCUGUACCUUCCACCUGCUGCGAGGAAGGGCUGGGGGCAGGCGUACCCAUUUUCCAGAGGAGAACUGAAGGCUCUCACCCCGGGUUAGGCCAGUGGCCGGAGGCAGAGCCGGGCCUUGAACCUGGCUUUCUGGAUCUUCAUCCAGGCCAUUCUAAAGGGGAUCACAGUUUCCAGGAGUCACUCCUGAAGAUGGUCAAGUACCAUGGAGGGGCAGGGCAUCCAUGGACCCUGAUUUGAGGCCCCGGAGCAGUUGGGACUGGUUUGGGCCACGGCUGGCCUAAUCUCCCCUCCACAGAGCCUGGGCAUUGUCCAGUUGGCAGCCAAGAGCCAUCUAUCCACUUUACAGCGGGCAGCUUUGACAGGCUGCUUGUUUCCAAGGACAAAGCCUGCAGGCUGUGGGUAGGCGAUAGCCACUGCGGACCUCGGGCUCAUUGCCUGGGUACAGGGGGUGGGGAGCCUGAGGUCUGCCAGGACCCAAGGGAGCCUCGAGGGUGGCCUGAGGACAUUGGGUCCUCACUCCUGGCCCCUCAGCCAACCCCCUCAUAGCCCAGGGCCAGGAAUUUUGGAAGGAAGAACCAGCCACUGGGAUGUUUUCACUUUUGGGUCACCCUGAUCCCCCCAGAAUCGAGGCUUGGCCAUCAGCCAGCUUUUAUGUGACCCAGGCAGCUCUCUCCACUCUGUUUCUUCUUCUACAGAAUGUUGAGAAUCACCUCUUUCUCUCAGGGACAUAAAGCAUGGCUGUGAGAGAGAUUUGUGAGUGUUGGGGUCACUGUAAUUACUCUCUGAGGGUGCCUGUCUUGAGCUCUGUAGACAAAGUGGGAUCCCUUCCCCUCUCUCAUACCCCUACAAACUUUGGGCCUCGAGUAUCCAGGAUGGGCCCAGAACCAGCACUGGCACAGCCUCCUCUCUGGCCUGAUCCAAGCCCUCUCCCACACAGCAGUCAGGCUGAUCUUCCUAAAAUUUCCGUCUAUUGAGCUUACAUUAAAAUAAUAAUAAUAAUAAUAAUAAUAAUAAUAAUAAUAAUAAUAACAACAUUUCUGUCUGAUUUUGUCUCUCCUCUGCUCAAAAUCCCUCUGUGGAUCCCUAGUGCCUCCAGGAGAAAGUCCACCCUUCCUCUCACGGCUCACCCAAUCUACCCCAGCCGUGGCUCCUCCCUCACUGUGCCUCUUCCCCUUACCUUCUAGCCAGAGUGAAAUCCCCAGGCCUCUGCGUGCACCAUUCCCUCUGCUUAGGAAUAGGCAGACCUGCCCCCAGGUCUUUUCUGGUUCAUUUCCACUUAUCCUUCAGGUUUCUAGGAUGCUUUCCCUGACCUCCACUUAAAUUGGCUCAGGAGUUCCCUGAUCUCCACAAAUGUCAGGAACUUGUCCACCCGCCUGCCCCCAGCACCCAGGUUACACCUGACAAAAUGAUCUGUGACAUGCCUGGCCUGGAGCCUGGCACACAGCAGGUGCUCAGUAAAUACAUAUUUGGCCGGGCGCGAUGACUCACGUCUGUAACCCCAUCACUUUGGGAGGCCGAGGUGGAUGGAUCACCUGAGGUCACGUGUUUGAGACCAUCCUGGCCAACAUGGCGGAACCCUGUCUCUACUAAAAAUACAAAAAUUAGCUGGUUGUGGUGGCGCGUGCCUGUAAUCCCAGCUGCUGGGGAGGCUGAGGCAGGAGAACCUGGGAGGCGGAGGUUGCAGUGAGCCAAGAUCAUGCCAUCACACUCCAGCCUGGGUGACAGAACAAGGCUCAGUCUCAAAAUGAAUACAUACAUACAUACCUAUUUGUAUUAGGAGGAGAAAACCAAGAACCAGAGAAGAGAAGAGAAGGGAAGGGACCUGUGGCCACAUAGCAAGGCCAUGGCACAGCCGAAGUCUCCUCUGCUUUCCUCAUGCAGCCCCGUCCAACCCAUCUCUUUCAUCUCUUUUCUUAAAACUUAAAAAUAUUUUCAGGGGGGUGUGGUGGCUCAUGCCUAUAAUCCCAGCAAUUUGGGAGGAUGAGAUGGGAGGAUUGCUUGAGCCCGGGAGUUUGAGGCUGCAGUGAGCCACUGUAGUCCAGCCGGGGUGACACAGCCAGACUCCAUCUUUUUCUCUGUAUAUUUUUUCACCUCUACCUGAUGUGACUGAGUAACUGCUGGGGUACAUCACCUCUUUCAGGUGAUGGAAAUGUUCUAAAGUUGAUUAUGCUGAUGGUUGGUUGCCCAGCUGUGAAUGCAGUAAAAACAUUGAGCCGUACACUUUAAAUGGACAAGUUAUGUGUGAAUUAUAUCUCAAUAAAGCUCUGUGCCCCACCCAAAUCUCCUGUCAAACUGUGAUUCAUAGCGUUGGAAGUGGGGCCGGGUGGAAGGUGACUAGAUCAUGGGGGCGGAUCCUUCAUAAAUGAU